AAGCUUAGGAUAAUUAAACCAAAGGCCUUCAAAGCCCUAAACAAGAGUACUAACCUCUUAGCCUCUGCCU
rnacentral:tRNA from 1 species